UGACUUACCUGGCAGGGGAGAUGCCGUGAUCAUGAAGGUGGUUCACCCAAGGCUCUGUCAUUGCACUUCGGUGGUGCUGACCCUUGUGAAUUCCCCAAAUGCGGAAAUCUUGACUGUAUAAUUUCUGGUGGUGAGGACUGCAUUCACUCUCUCCCCU